rnacentral:rRNA from 1 species
GAUGAACGCUGGCGGCGUGCUUAACACAUGCAAGUCGAACGAUUAACCCAUCUUCGGAUGGUUAUAGAGUGGCGAACGGGUGAGUAACACGUGACCAACCUACCUUAUACUUUGGGAUAACUCAGAGAAAUUUGAGCUAAUACCGAAUACUCCGAUACCUUCGCAUGUUGGUUUCGGGAAAGUUCCGGCGGUAUAAGAUGGGGUCGCGGCCUAUUAGAUAGUUGGUGGGGUAAUGGCCUACCAAGUCAGUGAUAGGUAGCCGGGUUGAGAGACUGAUCGGCCACAUUGGGACUGAGAUACGGCCCAGACUCCUACGGGAGGCAGCAGUGGGGAAUUUUGCGCAAUGGGCGAAAGCCUGACGCAGCAACGCCGCGUGCGGGAUGACGGCCUUCGGGUUGUAAACCGCUUUCAGCAGGGAAGAAUAUUGACGGUACCUGCAGAAGAAGCUCCGGCUAACUACGUGCCAGCCGCCGCAGUAACAC